GCACGUAGUUAGCCGGUGCUUAUUCUUCAGGUACCGUCAUUAGUUCGGGGUAUUAGCCCAAACCGUUUCUUCCCUGACAAAAGCGGUUUACAACCCGAAGGCCUUCUUCCCGCACGCGGCAUGGCUGGAUCAGGCUUGCGCCCAUUGUCCAAAAUUCCCCACUGCUGCCUCCCGUAGGAGUCUGGGCCGUGUCUCAGUCCCAGUGUGGCUGGUCGUCCUCUCAGACCAGCUACGGAUCGUAGCCUUGGUAGGCUUUUACCCCACCAACUAGCUAAUCCGACAUCGGCCGCUCCAAUAGCGCGAGGUCUUGCGAUCCCCCGCUUUCACCCGUAGGUCGUAUGCGGUAUUAAUCCGGCUUUCGCCGGGCUAUCCCCCACAACUGGGCACGUUCCGAUGUAUUACUCACCCGUUCGCCACUCGCCACCAGGAUUGCUCCCGUGCUGCCGUUCGACUUGCAUGUGUAAGGCAUGCCGCCAGCGUUCAAU
rnacentral:rRNA from 1 species